AAAAAGACGCUGGCGGCAUGCCUAACACAUGCAAGUCGAACGAGACCUUCGGGUCUAGUGGCGCACGGGUGCGUAACGCGUGGGAAUCUACCCUUGGGUUCGGAAUAACAGUUAGAAAUGACUGCUAAUACCGGAUGAUGACGAAAGUCCAAAGAUUUAUCGCCCAAGGAUGAGCCCGCGUAAGAUUAGCUUGUUGGUGGGGUAAUGGCCUACCAAGGCGACGAUCUUUAGCUGGUCUGAGAGGAUGAUCAGCCACACUGGGACUGAGACACGGCCCAGACUCCUACGGGAGGCAGCAGUGGGGAAUAUUGGACAAUGGGCGAAAGCCUGAUCCAGCAAUGCCGCGUGAGUGAUGAAGGCCUUAGGGUUGUAAAGCUCUUUUACCAGGGAUGAUAAUGACAGUACCUGGAGAAUAAGCUCCGGCUAACUCCGUGCCAGCAGCCGCGGUAAUACGGAGGGAGCUAGCGUUGUUCGGAAUCACUGGGCGUAAAGCGUGCGUAGGCGGUGACUCAAGUCAGAGGUGAAAGCCUGGAGCUCAACUCCAGAACUGCCUUUGAAACUAGGUCGCUAGAACAUCGGAGAGGUGAGUGGAAUUCCGAGUGUAGAGGUGAAAUUCGUAGAUAUUCGGAAGAACACCAGUGGCGAAGGCGGCUCACUGGGACGAUGUGACGC
rnacentral:rRNA from 1 species